rnacentral:rRNA from 1 species
GAUGAACGCUGGCGGCGUGCCUAAUACAUGCAAGUCGAGCGAAUGGAUUAAGAGCUUGCUCUUAUGAAGUUAGCGGCGGACGGGUGAGUAACACGUGGGUAACCUGCCCAUAAGACUGGGAUAACUCCGGGAAACCGGGGCUAAUACCGGAUAACAUUUUGAACCGCAUGGUUCGAAAUUGAAAGGCGGCUUCGGCUGUCACUUAUGGAUGGACCCGCGUCGCAGUAGCUAGGUGGUGAGGUAAUGGCUCACCAAGGCAACGAUGCGUAGCCGCACUGGGACGGAGCUCGGCCACACUGGGACUGAGACACGGCCCAGACUCCUCCGGGAGGCAGCAGUAGAGAAUCUUCCGCGAUGGACGAAAGUCUGACGGAGCAACGCCGCGUGAGUGAUGAAGGCUUUCGGGUCGUAAAACUCUGUUGUUAGGGAAGAACAAGUGCUAGUUGAAUAAGCUGGCACCUUGACGGUACCUAACCAGAAAGCCACGGCUAACUACGUGCCAGCCGCCGCAGUAA